GUGCUCAUUCUGCACGGCGAAUGACUCGAGUCGACUAUUCUCACCUCGUCGUCACAUGACUCUUCUCACUCGAUUCCGGUUGUCGACUCGAGUGAGGUGAGUGGUUCAUUUUUUGUAGCGAGUAAGGAAAUGAACCAAAACAAAUGCGAUGUUCAUUCGCAGAUCUGUCAAUCGGGAAGAGUUUCGAGAUAACGCUCGAAUCAGAGCGUAAUCAAUGAACAUCAACAACAUUUUUUUAAAUUCAUAUCAAAAAUUUUAAUAAUUAUUCAGCUAAAUAUCUACUAAACUAAUUGAAAAACACAGUUAAAGUAAUGUCGAACGUGUAAUAAAUAAUUGGUGUAAUUAUGGACAGUUUAAUUGCGUAUUUAGAUACAGAUGAUUAUAUUUAUGUUUAGCCCUUAUUUGAACAACGGUGGGUGUUUGAUUUCUGUUUUGUUUUGCAUAGCACAAACUUCGGUGUCGCACAAUUAUAUUCGGAAAUGGAAUUCUUUCGGUUGGGUGGCCAUGUGAUAAAGACCGAAAUGGCCAUUCUUUUCAAGAUAGGAUAAUAGCAUCCAGAUACCGUCCAGGAAUCCAGCAAGCAUCACCCGGGUUCACUUGGAUCCUGCUCAAUGGCCCGUCGAAGAGUCGGAAAAACACAGCGGAGUCAAGAUCCGCUUAGCUACAAGAUCGGCCAGCUGGAACGGCACCUUUCAGGUCAUGGAUCCGGACAUGGGUUGUUGUAGGGUCCACUUCCGGAAGCAACUCUCGCAACGGCAAACUCCACCUCUCCAGUUCAGAAGCUUUCUCCGGUCGUUCGGGUUCACCAGACUUCCCACAGGUUCGCUGUCCGUCGUCCGCCGACGCUCCACACUAUCGCAACUGUCACUCUACACGCUCAUUCGUAACUGCUCAAUUCGCAUCAUCUACACACUCAAUGUAAACAUAGAGAGUGCAUGCCCAUACAAACCCUACACCCCCAUCUUUCUAUAAAAAAAAUGGUAUGAACCUGACAUCUAAACAAUCUCUCUUUAUGUAACACUAAAACUACAGAAUCCCUUGAAUUCAGCAAAUUUAACCCAUGCUCUGAAACGCAAUAUUAGCCUUAUUAUCACCCAUCA